GACGAACGCUGGCGGCGUGCCUAAUACAUGCAAGUUGAGCGCUGAAGGUUGGUACUUGUACCGACUGGAUGAGCAGCGAACGGGUGAGUAACGCGUGGGGAAUCUGCCUUUGAGCGGGGGACAACAUUUGGAAACGAAUGCUAAUACCGCAUAAAAACUUUAAACACAAGUUUUAAGUUUGAAAGAUGCAAUUGCAUCACUCAAAGAUGAUCCCGCGUUGUAUUAGCUAGUUGGUGAGGUAAAGGCUCACCAAGGCGAUGAUACAUAGCCGACCUGAGAGGGUGAUCGGCCACAUUGGGACUGAGACACGGCCCAAACGCCUACGGGAGGCAGCAGUAGGGAAUCUUCGGCAAUAGACGAAAGUCUGACCGAGCAACGCCGCGUGAGUGAAGAAGGUUUUCGGAUCGUAAAACUCUGUUGGUAGAGAAGAACGUUGGUGAGAGUGGAAAGCUCAUCAAGUGACGGUAACUACCCAGAAAGGGACGGCUAACUACGUG
rnacentral:rRNA from 1 species